GGUUGAUCCUGCCAGUAACAUAUGCUUGUCUCAAAGAUUAAGCCAUGCAUGUCUAAGUGUGAACUCAUUUCGCAUAGCUGAACUGCGUACAGCUCAUUAAAUCAGUUAUAAUUUGUUUGAGGUUGUUUGUUUUUGGGGUUCUCUUUUGGAUCACAAGACUAUACGGAUACCCGUAGUAAUUCUAGAGCUAAUACGUGUGCGCAGGGAAAAGCGUCCCCGCAAGGGGAUGCUUUUUCUGUACUGAUUAGAUAUCGUGUAUGUUGUUUGCACAAUUCAUUUGCAGAUGACUCAU
rnacentral:rRNA from 1 species